UUGCCUGUUGAGUAAUAAUGCGAACAAUAUAGCAAUUGGUAUGAUUUAAAUAACUCAAUCGGGUUUUCUUUUAUAAAUAAUGGCUAUAUCUUAUUUUGGAAUUCUUUUAUCUAAAUUAUUGGUAGGUAGAUGCUCUAUAACCAUGUCUUUUAUAUUAUCCAACGAGAUAGUUGAUUGGUCAUUUAACGGUGAUCUAAUCCUGACCUAAUUCCGCUUUAACUCGCCACAAAUUAUAAUAAACUGCCAUGGAAUCCAGUCAAGAUCGAUCGCCUUUUAUUACUAAAAUUAGAACGCUGAAAUCAAUCUGUUGCGGAUUUGCUAUAGGGCUAAAAACUGUUGCAAGCUAAGAAUAUAUACUCAACAAACAAUCUUUGAUUGCUAUCGUAAUUUGAAACACCGGUUUGAAGCGUAAACAACCAUUAAAGUAACAUUUAAUUAAACUAUUUAUGUAUAUGUACAAAAAAACACAUAAAGGAAUAGUAGAAGUGUUC